UAGAGAAUCUUCGGCAAUGGACGGAAGUCUGACCGAGCAACGCCGCGUGAGUGAAGAAGGUUUUCGGAUCGUAAAGCUCUGUUGUAAGAGAAGAACGAGUGUGAGAGUGGAAAGUUCACACUGUGACGGUAACUUACCAGAAAGGGACGGCUAACUACGUGCCAGCAGCCGCGGUAAUACGUAGGUCCCGAGCGUUAUCCGGAUUUAUUGGGCGUAAAGCGAGCGCAGGCGGUUAGAUAAGUCUGAAGUUAAAGGCUGUGGCUUAACCAUAGUACGCUUUGGAAACUGUUUAACUUGAGUGCAGAAGGGGAGAGUGGAAUUCCAUGUGUAGCGGUGAAAUGCGUAGAUAUAUGGAGGAACACCGGUGGCGAAAGCGGCUCUCUGGUCUGUAACUGACGCUGAGGCUCGAAAGCGUGGGGAGCAAACAGGAUUAGAUACCCUGGUAGUCCACGCCGUAAACGAUGAGUGCUAGGUGUUGGGUCCUUUCCGGGACUCAGUGCCGCAGCUAACGCAUUAAGCACUCCGCCUGGGGAGUACGACCGCAAGGUUG
rnacentral:rRNA from 1 species